GUGCUCGUUUCAGCAGUACAUGUACUAAAAUUGGAACGAUACAGAGAAGAUUAGCAUGGCCCCUACACAAGGAUGACACGCAAAUUUGUGAAGCAUUCCAUAUUUUU
rnacentral:snRNA from 1 species